AAAAGGUUGAUUUAGCGGAUCGUACAUAUCAGAAUGACAAGUAAGUCAGCCACAUAAUAUUAUGAGAACAUGAGCUUGCGAUCUAUCUAUAUGACAAUAAUAAUCGCACUGAAAAAACUAUCUAAAUCAGAUGAUCAAAAAGUUGUGCUAUUGAAAAUUAUUGAAAGGAAAUCGCAAGGUACUUGCGAUUUCAACUUUUUUUCAAGAAAAAAACAUAAACAGUUAAACUAUUCUAUUUUUUUUUCAUAACAUACCGUACACAUGGUGUAUAAAGUUCUACUACUCGUCGGAUAUUGAAAGACAAAAAUUUAAUCAAACAACAAAAUAACGAGUUUGCAGCUGCAUGUUGACAUUGUUGUUGUUCUAUUGAUAUGCUAAUCAAACACCACGUCAGAAAUUAUUUACCACACACACAGUCAUGACGAAUACUAGAAAUAGUUCCUAUUUUAAGUGUUGGCAGAAUGUAAGUGAAUGACCUCCUAAAUUUUAUAUAAUCAUGAUAAUUUACAUGGCAUGUAUUUUUUUUUUACAAAAAUGUACCUUAAUUGUUUGUACUCUCAGUCAUUGUUUAAUUGUCAGGUCAGUUUUAAAUUGUUGUAUUGCACAUGGUAAGCAUUUUUGCUCAUUUUAUAAAGGCAAUUAACCAAAGAUGUGGUAGGAUUUCAAAUGAGACAACUCGCCACAAGAGACCAAAUGACACAGAAAUUAUAACAUUUCUAUAUGUCAAUGUAGUAAGUCAAUGUACAGCCUACGACAAUGAGCAAAGCCCAUACAGCAGUCAGCUAUAAAAGACCAAGAAACUACAAAUGUAUAUAACAAUUCAAGCGAGAAAACUAACUAAAUUAAUUUAUGUACCAUAAAAAGCAAAACAAAUUAUAUGUAACACAUCAACAAACGACAACGACUGAAUUGCUGAUUCUUGACUUGAGACAAGCACAUACAUACAGAAUGUGAAGGGGUUAAACAUGUAAGUUGGAUACCAACCCUCCCCUAAUCUGGGACAGUGGUGUAACAAUACAACAUAAGAACAAACUAUAAAAAAACUUGUUGAAAAAGGCCUAAUUUAAGUAAAGUAUUCUUUAUUUGAAGUCUGGUUGCAUUAUCAUGCAUAUAUAAAUAUUAAUAACAAGGACCAUACAUGUAGGCUCUUAAUUAAAGCUCUUUAAGAAUUAUGUACCCUUUUGCUAAACAUGGAAAUUACCAAGCCUAAUUGUACUCUAAUAUUUGACCAUUCUAUGCUUUAUAGAUAGAGCAUUAUUGCAUGCAGUGCAACAUGUAGCAAUUAUUUCCUUUAUAGUACAAGUUUAUAAAUCGAAAUAUUGGUUACAAUUGUAAAUAUGGACCAAUUCAAGUACAUCUUCUAGGGUGCACUCGACUUGAGUUACUCACCAGGAGAUUUUUUGGAAUGUAAAUGUUAUUCAGGCCGUUUUGUAAAUAACAAACCAUUGCGUUCCAUUAUCCCUAUUUUCUAUUUCAUGCAAUAAAACAAUAAAUAAUAUAGCUGCUUUGAAAGGAGUUUUCCCUCAGGUUACAUGUAUAUGUGCAAAACGGCCCAUCUCUUAUAUUCAUUAUCUUUGCUGUUUUGACAUGUUUGAUAUUAUUACACUAAGAAAAUUCACAUUUUUUUUCUCAAACCUUUAGAUUUUGAAUGUUACAGAUGCUGUUCAUUUUGCAGAAGUAUGUGAAAUGGAAAGAAAGAAAUAUACAUGUAUAAACAUACAGUGAUUGUUUUGAAUUUAAGGUGUAAGUACAUUGUUUAUAUAUAAUAUAAUUAUUAAAAAAGGUUAUCAUUGAAUGUAAAAACAUUUAUUAGAGUUCUAUAUUUCAGUUAAAGUAACAUUUUUUUUUAUUUGUGUAUAAAGCAAGGCAAAUGUACAAGUUAGUUUGUUAAUAGUCAAUAACUGAUCUUACAAUGUCAUCUUCUAAAAAAUCAUAAUUUUAUUGGACUGUUUUCCUCUAUUGAAUGUGCAAUUAUCUUCAGAGGCAGAUUUAGGGGGCAGUGGUAGACCCCCCCCCCAAAAAAAAAAACCCACCCCCUUUUUGUUUGAAAAAUUUGGUUGAUUAUAUAGGGAAUUACUGAAGCAUGACUGGAGUGGGCACAACUGUUGAGACUAUUUUAGGAUACGCCAAAUUGAAUGAUCUUCAUAUAAUUAGAUACAUUUUUUUUUAUUCUUGAUUUAUAUUAUCCGAUUAUCUAUAUGAUUCUUCUCUUUUGUAGGUAAAAAUGAGUUACAUGUGCCAAAAAAUAUGUUGAAAAUUUGAAAACUGUUAACAAGAGCAUCAACAAAUAGAAAAAAGAACAAUACCAGGUCUAGACUUUUGUGGCUGCAUGCAAUUAUUUCUAAAAUACCAGGAAAAAAGAUGUAGCUGCACAGCAGACACCCCAGAUCAUAAAAUUGCAUGUAAAAAAGGAAAGCAUUCCUUUUCAUAGAAUCAAAGAACUCUUUUAAGAGGGGGGCAAGGGGGGUCCCCAUAACAGCAAAACAGUGAAUUGAUUUGGUGAAAAACAGAUAACAAGGAAUUGAAAAGGGACAAUAACAGAUAACAGUAAAUGAAAUAUGAAAAUAAAUCUGUCCAGGACCAAUCCAGUAGAUGACUCGUAGAUCUUAGUAUAUAACUUGUGGUAUGGAC
rnacentral:lncRNA from 1 species